rnacentral:tRNA from 1 species
GCCAUCAUACUCAGUGGCAGAGCACUGGUCUUGUAAACCAGGGUCGUGAGUUCGAUCCUCACUGGUGGCU